rnacentral:lncRNA from 1 species
AGACUUAGAAAUAAAGUAACAGGUCACAUAGCUGGUCAGAAGCAGAUCCAAUUAGGAGAUGAAAUCCAACCACGCAAUUUGAACAUCUUCCUCCUUUCCUCUACUUUCUGAUUCUGUUUGAGAAUAUACGGGGCCAAAUAAGCCAUUUGAUGAAGAGUUAUUCUAAGUAAAAUGCUCCUGUAACUCAGUGGGUAUGGGCAGGUCCUGCUGUACAACUGGAGUUGAUUGACUCUGGACAACUUCCCCGAAAGCUGUCUUUAAUAUUUAAGGAUUAAAUGAGAUACUGUAUAUAAAAUGCUCACUUUUUUUUAACAGAGCGUCUAACUAAUAACAAAUAUUUACAGUUACUAUUGAUGGAAUUACCCUCGGGUGAAAGAAUUUUCUAGAAGAGAUCAUUGAAAUAGAUCUUUCUUUGAAAGAUUUUUAUGUGUAAGUCAUCAUCAAUUGCUCUCUUUUCGUGCCUUCUUGAACCCCCUCCAAAAAUGCUUAUCUCUCCAAUCCUCUUCUGAAAGUUGAUAUUAUACAUCAGGCCUCAUAAUAUCUGAUCUCUCCUCCUUGAAAUACUUUCUUACUUGGCUUCCUAAUUCCCUCUUCACUUCCUAAUUUAUUGUCACUUCUUUUCCACUUCCUUCUCUAAUUCAUCAUCUCCCAACCUCUGAACAUUGGAGUAGAUCAAAGUUCAGUUCAGAGUUGUUUUUUCUUCUUCAUCUGGACUUACACAAUAGUCAAUCCUAUCCAGUGUCAAAGCUUUAUGUUUAUUUUAUGUUUAUGUAUUUAUAUACCUUGAUAACAGCCAAAUUUAUGUAUCCAGUCCAGACUCCCCAGAAUUCUGGACUCCUAUAGCCAACCUGCCCACAUAUUUCCUCUUGAUGGCUAAAUGACAUCUCAAACUGAACAUGGUCAAAACAAGCUUCCUCCACUCCUAAACCUGCCUUUCCCAGCCUUUUCUAUACAUGCUGAUGGCACUCAAAUAUUAAUAGUUGCUAAGUUCAAACAUCUUGGUGUUAUCUUUGAUUUGUUGUUUUUUCCUAUACCCUACAUCCCAUUCAUUAGAAAAUCUUAUUGACACAUUCAAAAUAUAUCAACCUCCUACUAUCUACAUUGCUAUUGCUCUUAUUUCUUUGCUCCCCAUCAUGUCUUACUUGGAUUAGUCCAAUAGCUUUUGAAUAGGUCUUUUUGUUUUAAUCAUUCCCUUAACAUCUACUCUCAACUCAGCAGCAGACCAAUCCUAUAAGAAUAUAAGGUAAAGGGUGUCCCUCCACUGCUCAAAAUCUUCCAGUGACAUCUAUCUCAAUGAAAGUAAAAGCCACCGACUUUUUGCAAUAGCCUCUAGGGUCUUCAAGAUCUCUGCCACCCUCUCACAGCCCUGUCCUCUGAUCGGACCGUUUACUAUCCCCCAUCAGCUUCAACUAUCCUGACCUUUUAUAAUUCUACACUACAGACGGCCCCUACCCCAGAGCCUCACAUCUUUUCUGCCUGGAACACCUGUUACCCACACACCAGUUUGAUCCACUCCCUCACAUUUUAAAACUUUACUCAAACAUCAUAUUAUAAGUGAGGACUUCUUUGGCCCCAAGGCACCCUUCCAACAGCCAUGCUACUUAUUUCUUUGCAGCAUCUAACACCUGCUAACACACUGUGCCAUUGGUUUACUUAGUGUGUGAAUUGGUUCUCUCCCUCUUUAUGAUGUAAGCUUCGUGAGGGCAGAAUUUGUGCUGGUUUUGUUCUGUGUCUUGCCAUUGAGUGCAUACUCGAUCCAUGUUUGCUGAAAGUUUGACAGUGAGAUUCAUGUUGUAAUUUUGUCUAAAAUAGACAUUAGCAGGUAAGACAACACUAUAAUUUAUUUUAUUAAUUAACAAUAGAUAGAAAAUAGGACCUGACUGGAAUAAAUUGAUUCUGGUUGGGGGGCUGAGUCUUGCCAGUAAAAUCUUUGUGGAUUCUGAACUUCAGUUUCCUCUUUUGAAAGGUAGGAGUAAUAAAACUGAGCUUCUCAAGGUAGAUGUGGGAAUAAAAUAAGACAAUGCAUUCAUAUUCAUUCACGUGUAACAGGCAUCCUUCGAGGCACUGAUGUGACAGCAUUUUGUAAAUGUGGAAAGCCCAGGGUAAAUGUAAGGACAUGUUCUAUUUAAUUUAAAAAAAAAAUGGGGGAGUUCCCAUUGUGGCUCAGGGGUAACAAACCUGACUAGUAUCCAUGCGGACCAGGGUUCAAUCCCUGGCCUCACUCAGUAGAUUAGGGAUCUGGCAUUGUUGUGUGCUGUGGUGCAGGUUGCAGACUCGGCUCGGAUCUGAUGGUGCUCUGGCUGUGGUGUAGACCAGCAGCCGCAGCUCCAAUUUGACCCCUAGUCUGGGAACUUCCAUAUGCCACAGGUACAGUCAUAAAAGGAAAGAAAAAAAUUUGUUGAGUGAUUUUGAACAGCCAUGCAUAUUAAAAUACGAUAAAAAUUAUAUACCCAUUGCCAUUCCAAACUAUAAAACUCUAAAUCAUUUAUUAAUAGAAUCAUUUAUUUUAUAAGAAUAUUCUGGAAACCUCAAAACCAAAAGCUACAAAAACAAGUGAUUUGGAGAUUUUUUGUACUCACUAAAAUAAAGUUUUAAUGAAAUGACAACUUUUCAAAAAUUAAAUAAACCUCAAACUAAAUCAACAUGCAUUACUACUGCACAACACCAUAACAAAAUAAGCUCAUGGAGUUCUUAACUGAAAAAGUCUAUAUUUCUAUAGAUUUGUAUUAUUAAAACACCACAUGCAAGCCCUAAAUCACAUAACUAUGGGAAGGUUCUCAUAGGAUGUGCAUCUGGUCCAUUAUUUUCAGACCACAUACUGAAUCAGAAGGACUUCUGAUUGUGACAAAAUGAUACCAUCCUGAGCUCCUUCCCCCACUUUUGUUUUAUUUGGGUCAAAUAAGAUGGAUAUUAGAGGUACACGAUCCUCAGUUUUGUCUAGAAAUCAAUUCAAGCGAAUGCAAUUUGCUUCCAUUAUUGUUAUAACAAGAAAUAACUUUUGAAGAGAUUUGAAAAGCCACUUUAAAUGAUAUAUUAAAAUUGCUGAUUCUUUUCAAUUUACAAUUGCAUUUUAUACACUAGUGAUAUUUUUGUCUUUAACACUUUUUAAUUUAUUAUUUACUUGGAAAAAUGGAAAAUGUUAAGGUCUUUAACCAAAAUAUUAAGGUCCAGAAUAUUCAAUUUGCCAAAAAUGGAGAGGAAAAAAACCCAGUCUGAUAGCCACACUUGAAUUCAAAUAAAAAUUUUCAACAAUUUUUAAAUUUAUACAGUAUGCAGACAUUGGAUCCACUUUUUAACAUAUCAUGUUACAUGAGGUCAUUAAUGAAAUCUUUUUUAAAAAUCACUUUCCACUCAAUUCAUUAAAGUGAAAAAAUACAGGAAAAAUUAAUAUCUUUAAAAAGGCAGAUUAACAGCUAACAAAAUAUUCACAAAGGAGCUACCCAAAACUUAGAUGAAGAGGGGUUUUUAGUGCUUCAUCAUGUAACCGAAGAAAUGACACCAUUUUGUAAAGAUGGGAUUCAUUUUUUUAAGUCCCCAUUUAUACUUUAAAUACUAAGAAGGGUUUAAAUAGGGCAAUGAUCAUUUAUCACAUUCCUCAGACUUGGAGUAUUUGUUAGUAUCUAGUGUGUUGCCACAUUCCGCUGUAGGUGCUCAAUAAAAAGUAAUGGAACUGAGCUGAAUUUUACAGCUUCUUCGAAAAUAGCCAUUUGAUUGCAGACCAUGAAAAGGACAGAUUUUCUGUGCCUACAUUUGGGGGACUGUGUUGAGAAUGCAUAUAUUUAGACACCAAACAGUAGCUUGACCAAUACAGGCAUUCUUUUAACUGCCCAGCAGGAAUGACAAGUGCCUUCGCUUAUGUGAUAAAGUAAAUGGAAUAAAUUCAGGGGCCUCUUUGCUGACACUCUUGAAAAGAUGAUAAAAUUAGCCACUGAUUUUUUUCUGAAAGUUCAUUAACUCUAAUGACUAAACCAAAAGCAGAAUUCACCUAUCAACUGACUGGACAAUAAAUACGCUUGUGUAUGUGUCUGUUGGUCUGUCUGUCUGAAUAAAUAAAGCAAUGCAAAGACAUCAGACCCAUGGAAACCAUGGGAUAUCAUUCUUUUAGACCUUCUGGUAUGUGGGGCCUCUGCUUUUCAGAUGCACAUGGGUGAGGUGUGGAAGCAGAGACACAGCCACUGCAAAAGAGUGAGAAGUCAACCCUCACAUAAAAUGACCCCAUCUUUGAAAGUCUUUCAUGUCCCACAAAGAAACAAUUUUUUUCAUGUCUCUCUUUUGAGAAGAAUAGGAGUGUGAAGGGCUUCAAAUCAAUUCUCCUUGUUGAGCAACAGAAUGUCAUAGCUUGAACCUUGAGAGAUCCUAAGGAAUGGAAACAAUAGAGCCUUCCCUUGAACUUUCACUUUUUUUUCACCAUCCCCUGGAGUCUGAUAGCAUUCCUGGGUACCCAGAAGGAAAAUGCUAAUUCCUCUAGCAUAGGCUGAUAUUUUUUUCCUGAAUACCAAGGGUGUAGUUCAGGUGAAACAGAGGACUAUGGGACAACAAUGAAUUCCACCCAUCCCACCAUCCUUAUGUAGAAACAGUGUCUCCCCAGACACUGGAGGAAUAAUACAGGCAGUCUAUUCAUAGGUGUUUCUUGUUGUUAGUGAGAAAAGUACACAUUGCUGAGUAAGAAAAAUGAAUGAAUUCCUAACGUAGCAGAUGAAAGCGGAUGUAAAGAGGCCUCUACUCCCCAGUGCUGAGUGCCACCAGUGACAGGAAGCAUCUCAUUCUACAGCAUUCCAAACGAUUUGGUCUCCGCCAGAAAAUAACAGCUGCAACAACCCAACUGCAUCCUCAGUGUCUGAUGAACACCUACAUACAACUAAUUUCCUUUCACUUUACAACCUGCUUGUUUCCAGAAGGUAAAUAUUGGAAAGAGUGGACUAGCAGGCAUUUGGUUAAUGGAAAGUUAGAUGCUUCAAUAUAUUAAAUGGUAUUUUGUCAGAGAUCCAAAUAUUAAUGAGCUAUAUAUGUAUAUGCAUACAUACACAUGUACAUAUAUCAGAGUUUAUUCUAGAAAUGGUUUAAGGCAGCUAAGGGAGAAGUGUUUUUCUCUUUUUACCUUGAUAGUCUAAUUCACCUUUAGACAUAUUUCUGUGGGAGAAUGCCUACAAAUUCAUGGAAAUAGAAAAGACGACUGUUCUCUUAUCUAUUUUUUCUCUCAGCUAAGGAAAAUCAUAAGUGUUUUCUGCCAUCAAAACUCUAUCUUGGAGUUCCCAUUGUGGCGCAGCAGAAACGCAUCUGGACUAGGAACCAUGAGGUUGUGGGUUCAUUCCCUGGCCUUGCUCAGUGGGUUAAGGAUCCGCCGUUGCCAUGAGCUGUGGUGUGGGUCAUAGACGCAGCUCAGAUCUGGCAUUGCUGUGGCUGUGGUGUAGGCCGGCGGCUACAGCUCUGAUUAGACCCCUGGCCUGGGAACCUCCAUAUGCCA